UUCAAUCCAAAAGAGCGAUUACUGAAAAAAGUGGUGCUUCAAAAAAGUGGUUACUGAGUUUUGACUGAUGACUUACUUUUUCAAAACCUAAAAAUAAUUUGUUUUAUAACGUGUGCUGUAUUGAAUGCCCUGAAUCUUUACUUCGUUUUUGAUGAAGAAUGUACAAGUUCAAUUGUACAACAAGUAUGCAAAGUGAAAGAUGGAGUAAAUGACUUGCAUUUGCUGUUGUAUUCUGCUGUGCUGUGCUGUGCUGUGCUCUAUGAAUUUAUUGAUUCAAUAGACUUUAAAUGGUCGUGUCGCCGUGUGUACUACGUAAAAGGGCCUUUAUCCAUGAUGCAUAUUUGAUUGAUACCACGGCCUCACAAGAUGGCGAUUUGUAGUACGGGUUUGGGGUCUUCUCGUUCGAGUCCGAUCUGACAAGAGAACGGAGAAUGUUGGGGUAUGUGAUUUUAUGUUGGCAGCUCGGCCUUCAAAUGCAUUCAUCACUGGGCGUUCGAUUCACAAUCAACGAUUUGAGAGGGCGUGGCGCGUUGUAUUCCAGAAUUGCGUUGUGCCCUUCUACAAUACUUUUCAAUAGUGAUUACAAUUAUGAAAAGUUUACUUUUCUAUUACAUUCAUUAAUGCAAUACAUUUAACAAGCGAAUCGCCACUCAAA